rfam:Salmo salar isolate Sally breed double haploid chromosome ssa03, whole genome shotgun sequence.
UAUGCACUCUACUGUAAGUCGCUCUGGAUAAGAGCGUCUGCUAAGUGACAAAAA